rnacentral:rRNA from 1 species
AGAGUUUGAUCCUGGCUCAGGACUAACGCUGGCGGCGUGCCUAACACAUGCAAGUCGAACGAGGUAGCAAUACCUAGUGGCAGACGGGUGAGUAACACGUAGUCAACCUACCUCUUAGUGGGGGAUAACUAGCCGAAAGGUUAGCUAAUACCGCAUGAGAUCGUCGAGAGGCAUCUUUUGACGAUGAAAGCAGCAAUGCG